rnacentral:rRNA from 1 species
GACGAACGCUGGCGGCGUGCUUAACACAUGCAAGUCGAACGGAAAGGCCUGCUUUCCCUUGUGGAUUGCGGGUACUCGAGUGGCGAACGGGUGAGUAACACGUGAGUGAUCUGCCCCCAACUUGGGUAUAAGCCUGGGAAACUGGGUCUAAUUCCCGAUAGGACUGCAGGGUGGUGCCUGUGGUGGAAAACGAUUUUCUAGUGGUUGGGGAUGAGCUCGCGGCCUCUCAGCUUGUUGGUGGGGUAAUGGCCUACCAAGGCGGCGACGGGUAGCCGGCCUGAGAGGGUGGACGGCCACAUUGGGACUGAGAUACGGCCCAGACUCCUACGGGAGGCAGCAGUGGGGAAUAUUGCACAAUGGGCGGAAGCCUGAUGCAGCGACGCCGCGUGGGGGAUGACGGCCUUCGGGUUGUAAACUCCUUUCGACCGCGAGGAAGCCACCUGGUUGGAAGGGUGGUGACGGUAGUGGUAGAAGAAGCACCGGCUAACUACGUG